UCUGGGUUUAUCCCAGCGGUCCCGUCAGAAAAAUAUAACUGACGGCGAGGGUUGCGCUCGUUGCGGGACUUAACCCAACACUUCACGGCACGAGCUGACGACAGCCAUGCAGCACCUGUGCAGGCUCCGUAGAGCGCCGGCUUUCACCGGCUUUACCCUGCAUGUCAAGCCCAGGUAAGGUUCUUCGCGUCGCAUCGAAUUAAGCCGCAUGCUCCGCCGCUUGUGCGGGCCCCCGUCAAUUCCUUUGAGUUUUAGCCUUGCGGCCGUACUCCCCAGGCGGGGUGCUUAAUGCGUUAGCUUCGGCACGGACGGGGUCGAUAUCCGCCCACACCUAGUGCCCAACGUUUACGGCGUGGACUAC
rnacentral:misc_RNA from 1 species